AGCGAACGCUGGCGGCAGGCCUAACACAUGCAAGUCGAACGAACCUUUCGGGGUUAGUGGCGGACGGGGGAGUAACACGUGGGAACGUGCCUUUAGGUUCGGAAUAACUCAGGGAAACUUGUGCUAAUACCGAAUGUGCCCUUCGGGGGAAAGAUUUAUCGCCUUUAGAGCGGCCCGCGUCUGAUUAGCUAGUUGGUUGAGGUAAUGGCUCACCAAGGCGACGAUCAGUAGCUGGUCUGAGAGGAUGAUCAGCCACAUUGGGACUGAGACACGGCCCAAACUCCUACGGGAGGCAGCAGUGGGGAAUCUUGCGCAAUGGGCGAAAGCCUGACGCAGCCAUGCCGCGUGAAUGAUGAAGGUCUUAGGAUUGUACAAUUCUUUCACCGGGGACGAUAAUGACGGUACCCGGAGAAGAAGCCCCGGCUAACUUCGUG
rnacentral:rRNA from 1 species